CUUUAAAUCCUGUUAUGUUGCAAUUUUUGUGGUUAAUUUGAGGGCUUAAUUCCCUGCAUGUGAUUCCGACAAAGGAAAACGGACAACUCCGACGAGUUCAAGGUCCAAUCUCGGUGAAAUCUCUUGCAUUUCACCUGGAUUUUCCGUCGAACUCGGGCCAUCAUUUUCAGGCUAUUUGCCUUCUCCCUCUGUCGCUCCAUCCAUCGCAGACAUCACCAUGGCAUCAUAUGAGCCUGUCCCAAGGUCUGUCAAUUUUGGGUUGGCCUGGAGACUAGCUUGGGCUGGGUGCCAGGCAAUCCUGUGGGCUGGAGAGACUUCCAUAGGUGCCGGGCCAUUUUUUUGGCUGUGUGCCGGCCUAUCCCACCCCCGGUGGAAGUGCUCUAAUGUUGAUAUUGUCUUUAUAUUUCUUUUCGUCUUGGAAUGCACCAUCCUCUCGCCAUUUAAUACUUGGUCAGAAUUCAAAUUCAUGGGGUUACUCACAUACAGAGCCCAUAUAAAUUUAGAUGGGGAGCUAUGACUUCGUGCCACUUGAAUUUGGAGAUUUUUCCCCCCCCGCGAAAUGGGUUCAGAGAUUUUUCCCCCUUUUUCUUGGCUCUUAUACCAGUGGUCUUCCUCCAGAAAUAAUUCCGAUAUUCUGGGCUUCCACGGAUUUCGUAUAUUUCGAACUUCUAUUUGGAUUGGGUAACUGUUGAUUUCCAAGUGAGGAUGGGUCAUAAACUCUUUCAUUUUUCUACUGCAUUGUUCUCUUGCUCUUACUACCCGGCUUGUGAUUCUUUUGUGGAGCAAAAAUUCAAAGCAAAAAGGAGGAGAAAAUAACCAGCAGGUGUCUCGGGCAAUGACAUCUCUUCGAUUUGGUUUGUUGCUGUGUCCUUCAGGUAAUGAACUUGAUUGGGUUGACAAAACAAAAACCCUUCUUUUUUGUAAUGGUAGAUGAUAAGCCUAAUUUGAUGUUGGUAACUUAUGUAGUCUAAAUUUAUAUAACUUUUCCUUUAUCAUCAGUAGCUUUCAGUACCAUUUUGACUUGGUUUUUGACAUGGUCGUUGGACAAACCAUUUUGCAUUACCGAAUUUAUUGAAGACAAUUGUUGAUUCAUGGCUCCAAAGGUGAGAAUUACACCCUGAAAUUUGUAGUGACGUACUCAUAGUAUCUGUCGUAUUUUGAAUGGGUUUUAAUGUUUCAGUGUGUAAUAAUCGCUCUCUGGCAUUUCUGUUGCAUUGAGAAUUAUUUGGCUGGUCUUGAUAGUGGGCAUUUGGACACCCUUUUUGUGCUCCCAUCCAUGUGUUGUCUUUGAUACGUGCCAUCUUUUCUCAUUAACACUUGUACAAAGUGAUGCUUUUCCCAAAAUCUUUUGUAAUUUUGAUUUGUCUUCUAGUUCUUUGGGUGUUAAUACAAAGGUUGCCAUGUGAACGAGUUUCCCAAUUAAUUUGGGAAGUUUGAUAGUAAGCUUUUCCUUCUUUGUAAACUUGGGACAGCUUUGAACUCUUUCAAAUCCAACUUCACGUGGCAGAGAAGCAAAUCCCCUUUAGCUGUUUAUUUAGAGAUUGGCAAGUUUCCUUUCUUUCCCUUUGUUUUGUAGCAUCUGUCAGUCUUACUUCAAUGCUUUUGGUCAAUAUUUUUGACCCAUACUUUAACUUUCUUCUUUGGUAAAGUCCCAUGCUUUGACUUUGGUCCAUCUUUGAAAUAUGCAAACAUCAUCCCAAUAUAUUUUGCUGGAACUUUAUGAAGGGAGACAUCAUCUUUUCCAAUUUCUCCUUUUCCUUGGACUCUUAUCCCAAGUCAGUUUUCAUAGGAUUUUAUGCAAAAGCCUUCUCCUCGUCUUGUACUCGUGAGUAGCAAAGAAAACAGAACAAUUUCUUUCCUUUUGAGUUGCAUUUUGUUAUAUGUUGAUCCCUUGUUGUUUUUCUUCAUAGAGACCAAGCAUGGGUCGGUUUAAGGGGAACAAAAGUUGCAUUUGACUUCUUUUCCUUUGUUCAUUUGUCCAUAAGUGCACCUAUUUUCUCAUUGGACCGUAAAGAAUGACCUUGCAUAUAAGACUUGACUUUCUAUAUCUGCUUCCUUGGCUUGAUUUUUGACCGAUAGCAAUUGGAAUGAUCCUUUGUUGUCUUUCAAGUCUCCUUAACUUUGCCCAACAUGAUAACCAUAAGAAUGGCAUUCAUGUUACCUAGAAGACUCGCCGUCAAUGUUGAGAGUCGAAUGAAACUUUGCUCUUUCUUUAUCCAAAACCUUUGCUUGCCGUAACACCAAUUGCUCCUUUCCUUCUUGGCACGGACGGCAAGCAUAGGUUACUUAGACUUGACUGGAACUUCACGGGAUGGUCUAGGCCACCCCGAAGAAAUUCAUGGGAAUGACGGCAGUGGCGAGGAGCGAAACUCUUGUGUACUUUUGCUCUCUUCAGAUUUAGGCAGAAAGAAAACAUGUGGCUGCUUUUCUUUGGAUCGCUUUGUGUUGUUGUUGCAGGUAUAGAAGAGUAGUCGGGCUACCAUUUAAGAAACCCUCCUUGCACAGAAACCUUUUAUGGUGGCUUGUUGGCAAUUUUCUUGAUGAUUACAGGUUCAAGGUAGUUGAUUAUGCCCCAUUUUUUCACUUUUGUCUGCAACACAACAUUAAACAAGAGAGAUAAAUAAAUUAACAGAACUUGUUUCAUACCUGGUGAUGAAUGUUCUUCUUUGGAUCUUGAUUCGAAAGCACGAAUGGUUGAACUCCUUGUUCACUUUUCUAGCAGCACUUCAUUGUUUUUGAUAUUUUCUCUCAAAGUUUUUCUUAUUUUCUGCAGAGUAUCCCCUCUCUUUUUCUGUCUCCUUCUUGCUGCAGCUGAUGCCUAUUCAUAGGCACCCUGGGAAGGCUCUAGAGUUUUUUACGUGGGGGAGAUGGAGGCCAUGUUUUCUACCACUUUCUUUUAACCUCUUCCACAUUCUUUUGUUGCAGAAAAGUGGGGAGCCCCCGUCUUGCACGUUUCUUUCUUUUGUUGCAGAAAUGUGGGGAGCCCCCUUGUCUUGCACGUUUCUUCCUUUUGUAGGAAGGGAUUCACAUCCUGUUUACUUUUAUUAUUAUAUUUAUUUUUUAAAAUUUAUUUAUGGAUGUUUGACUUGUAUGUAAAGCCCAUCCUCGUCUUUUGGGCUAAAUUACAUUUUUGUUUUGCCUUGUAGUUUGACCCAAUUUGUAUGGACUCAAUAUUUUUUUUAUAUGUUAUAUAUUUUUAAA